rnacentral:rRNA from 1 species
UACGAAGGGGGCUAGCGUUGUUCGGAUUUACUGGGCGUAAAGCGCACGUAGGCGGAUCGAUCAGUCAGGGGUGAAAUCCCAGAGCUCAACUCUGGAACUGCCUUUGAUACUGUCGAUCUGGAGUAUGGAAGAGGUGAGUGGAAUUCCGAGUGUAGAGGUGAAAUUCGUAGAUAUUCGGAGGAACACCAGUGGCGAAGGCGGCUCACUGGUCCAUUACUGACGUGAGGUGCGAAAGCGUGGGGAGCAAAACAGG